GAUGAACGCUGGCGGCGUGCUUAACACAUGCAAGUCGAACGGAGUGCUCAUGACGGAGGAUUCGUCCAACGGAUUGAGUUACUUAGUGGCGGACGGGUGAGUAACGCGUGAGGAACCUGCCUCGGAGUGGGGAAUAACAGCCCGAAAGGGUUGCUAAUACCGCAUGAUGCAGCUGGGUCGCAUGACCCUGGCUGCCAAAGAUUUAUCGCUCUGAGAUGGCCUCGCGUCUGAUUAGCUAGUAGGCGGGGUAACGGCCCACCUAGGCGACGAUCAGUAGCCGGACUGAGAGGUUGACCGGCCACAUUGGGACUGAGACACGGCCCAGACUCCUACGGGAGGCAGCAGUGGGGAAUAUUGGGCAAUGGGCGCAAGCCUGACCCAGCAACGCCGCGUGAAGGAAGAAGGCCCUCGGGUUGUAAACUUCUUUUAUCAGGGACGAAUAGAUGACGGUACCUGAUGAAUAAGCCACGGCUAACUACGUGCCAGCAGCCGCGGUAAUACGUAGGUGGCAAGCGUUAUCCGGAUUUACUGGGUGUAAAGGGCGUGUGGGCGGGACUGCAAGUCAGAUGUGAAAACUAUGGGCUCAACCCAUAGCCUGCAUUUGAAACUGUAGUUCUUGAGUGCUGGAGAGGCAAUCGGAAUUCCUAGUGUAGCGGUGAAAUGCGUAGAUAUUAGGAGGAACACCAGUGGCGAAGGCGGAUUGCUGGACAGUAACUGACGCUGAGGCGCGAAAGCGUGGGGAGCAAACAGG
rnacentral:rRNA from 1 species